CCAACCUUCUCCAAGUGCCGAUGGUUGUUGUGCUGUGGUGUCCUGACCAUUUAAGUUGUUCUCAGCGUCAAUCUGAAGGGAAUUCAGGUGUCCAGAGAGAACAGCUUGGUGCUUUAAGUUGUUCUCUGCGUCAAUCUGAAGGGAAUUCAGGUGUCCAGAGAGAACAGCUUGGUGCUUUAAGUUGUUCUCUGCGUCAAUCUGAAGGGAAUUCAGGUGUCCAGAGAGAACAGCUUGGUGCUGAUGUUCUACGUCAUCCCAGGACUCUUUUGUUAGCGGAGGUUCCCACUCUAUUGUCUCCU
rnacentral:lncRNA from 1 species